GAAAGAGUCGACGCGGCGUGCUCCAAUCAGUGCGCAUGCGCACCUCAAUUAGUGUGCAUGCGCGUCUCCGGUGGGCGCUCCGCGCCUCCCUGACCGCCAGCUUGUGCGUUUCUCUCAGGACCUUCCAGCUCCAAAGCCUGGGACUUAAUCCAGCUGAUGCUGGCUUCAGCAUACUGACCAUGGGACCUGGCAGGAUUCCGUGUGCCCAGGACGAGCCGGCACAGGUGGUGAACACUGGCAUGAGUGACCCACGGCACCUGCUGCAUGGCCAGUCUGCAGACAGAGCCACCGUGCAUCCAGCCUCUGGAAGGUACUCCUGACGGAUGUUCAGAAAGGCAUUUACCUCACCUGCUUUGUUACCUUUUAUAUUGAACAAGCGUCAGACACUCACAGCAAAGUGUCAUCAGUAGCAUUAAACUCAAGAAGUUUUAGCAGAAGCUGUGUCUUGCGCGUCCUGUUCAGUAAGAGGCCCUGAGCUUUGGUGCCCUCACUGCUAUGUCCAGAUGCAUGUGAGGGAGGGAGUGCCAUGCCUCGCCCUGCAGGCACUCUUGACCUCAGAGGGGAAGGUUGGGUGAUGGGGGGGAGGGAGGUUGUCCAGGCAGCUUGGAGUGUGCAUCCAGAUCCUGCUUCACUUGGGAAAUGUGCCAAUGACGGGGCCGUUGGGCAUUAGUAGAAUUUCACUUCCCUGGACUUGGGGUCUCAGGUGCUUGAAAUCUAGUUACUCUGAGGACAUAGAAUCUUUCCUUACUGCCAGGAUUCAGGAACUGAAAGGAUUAUGUAUAUACUGGGCUUGCUAGUGUUUUACGUGAAACCUUUAUCCUUACUUUGAAAAGUGAAAGCACUUUCUGGACCUAAAAUCUGUGAAGGCCAAAUAUUAGCUUUGCGUUGCUUCUAUUUUUUUUACAGAAAGAGGGUCUACUUGGUCAUUUCAGUAGGUAGAGGGACAUCUGGAAGUGAAGACCUUUCUGUUCAAAAAGAAAUAGCUGAAUAACUUUUAUUUGAAAUGAUCUUUUGUCUGUUAUCAGCUCUAUUUCUUGUCACUAUUUUUUUGAACAUGUAGUGUAAGCAUUGUAAACUGCUUUAAGUUUAAUUGAAGUUAUUAAACUUCCUGAACUCUUAAUGAUA